rnacentral:rRNA from 1 species
UGUCUGAAUAUGGGGGGACCAUCCUCCAAGGCUAAAUACUCCUGACUGACCGAUAGUGAACCAGUACCGUGAGGGAAAGGCGAAAAGAACCCCGGCGAGGGGAGUGAAAAAGAACCUGAAACCGUGUACGUACAAGCAGUGGGAGCACCUUCGGGUGUGACUGCGUACCUUUUGUAUAAUGGGUCAGCGACUUAUAUUCUGUAGCAAGGUUAACCGUAUAGGGGAGCCGCAGGGAAACCGAGUCUUAACUGGGCGUUAAGUUGCAGGGUAUAGACCCGAAACCCGGUGAUCUAGCCAUGGGCAGGUUGAAGGUUGGGUAACACUAACUGGAGGACCGAACCGACUAAUGUUGAAAAAUUAGCGGAUGACUUGUGGCUGGGGGUGAAAGGCCAAUCAAACCGGGAGAUAGCUGGUUCUCCCCGAAAGCU